GACGAACGCUGGCGGCGUGCCUAAUACAUGCAAGUCGAACGCAGUGGGGACGGGUGAGUAACACGUGGGUAACCUCCCAUCAGAGGGGAUAACACUUGGAAACAGGUUCUAAACCGAUACUGGUGGAUGGACCCGCGGUGCAUUAGCUAGUUGGUGAGGUAACGGCUCACCAAGGCCACGAUGCAUAGACGACCGGAGAGGAUGUGGGCGGAAGCGGGGAAGGAGCAUAGGCCAAGAAUCCUACGGGAGGCAGCAAGAGGGAAGCGGGGGCUAUGGAGGAAAGUCAGACCGAGCGAAGGCGGGUCGGGUAGGAGGGUAAUCGGUUCGUAAAACAUUGUUGAUAGUGAAGCGUUAUAUAUCCAGAAAGCCACGGCUAACUGCGUGCUAGCAGCCGCGGUAAUUC
rnacentral:rRNA from 1 species